UACGUAGGGCGCGAGCGUUAAUCGGAAUUACUGGGCGUAAAGCGUGCGCAGGCGGUUUUUUAAGACAGAGGGUAAAUCCCCGGGCUUAAACUGGGAACUGCCCUUGUGACUGCAUGACUUGAGUACCGCAGAGGGGGAUGGAAUUCCGGGUGUAGAUGUGGAAUGCGUAGAUAUGCGGGGGAACACCGAUGGCGAAGGCAAUCCCCUGGGCCUGUACUGACGCUCAUGAACGAAAGCGUGGGGAGCAAACAGG
rnacentral:rRNA from 1 species